rnacentral:lncRNA from 1 species
AUCCUUGGAACUCCAAGUGGGACUUCUUAAAAGAUUUAUAAGGAACAAAGAUGUCAGGAAAGCAGAAAUACACACGGACUCCAUGACUAGAAAAACCUCGUGGUGGCCUGCUCUCCGGUGCUUGGAAGUGUGCUAGUUACAUCUUGGAGCCCUAGCUGUCCUGAAAUGAGCUCCCAAGACUAGGCUGGUUUGGAACUCACAGAACUCCAGGCUGCCUCUGAGAGCAAAGGCACGCACCAUCACAUGC